rnacentral:misc_RNA from 1 species
AAAGGAGGCAAAGUUAUGAACCCCACUGAUGCAUAUCGUAAGGAGCUCCGCAAGAAGGAACUAAAACGGAACAAAAAAGAAAGAAAGAAGGUGAGGGAGGUGGGCAUCUUGAAGAAGGAUCCUGAGGCGCUUAGGGAGCAAAUAGAGAAGUUGGAAAUGAUGAAGGCUGAUGGUGCUUUGGAUAAAGCAAGAAAACACAAGAAGCGUCAACUUGAGGAUACACUUAACCUUGUUUUGAAAAAGAGAAAGGAUUAUGAAGAGAAGAUGAAGGAGAAGGGUGAGACACCAGUCAUGUUCAGUCAUUUGGGGCCACCUCGGAGGAGAACAUCUGCAGAAGAAGAAGAGAGAGUCAAGCACCCUAAACCUGAAGACUCUGUCUAUUAUCACCCUACACUGAAUCCUACAGGGGCCCCACCACCGGGAAAGCCUCCUAUGUAUAAGUCAUCCAUAGGGCCCCGGAUUCCCUUAUCUGCUGCUUCAUCAUCCUCAAAUACAGAGUCAGAGGAUGCUGCCUUAGCAGUGCCUCCCCCGCCACCUCCCCCACCUCCUCCGUUGCCAGAAAGCACUAACUUGGCCUCUGAGGAUAACUCUAUUAUAGCUGCUUCCUUGCCCCUACCUCCUCCUCCUCCAUUGCCACCGAAGCCUCCUGCACCAGGCUUGGGUGUGUCACUGCCUCCACCUCCUCCGGGCCCCCC